UACGUAGGGUGCGAGCGUUGUCCGGAAUUAUUGGGCGUAAAGGGCUCGUAGGCGGUUCGUCACGUCGGGAGUGAAAACUCGGAGCUUAACUCCGAGCCUGCUUCCGAUACGGGCAGACUAGAGGUAGGCAGGGGAGAGCGGAACUCCUGGUGUAGCGGUGGAAUGCGCAGAUAUCAGGAAGAACACCGGUGGCGAAGGCGGCUCUCUGGGACGGUACUGACGCUGAGACGCGAAAGCGUGGGGAGCGAACAGG
rnacentral:rRNA from 1 species